rnacentral:rRNA from 1 species
AGAAUCAACGCUGGCGGCGCGCUUAACACAUGCAAGUCGAACGAGAAAGGGGAGCAAUCCCUGAGUACAGUGGCGUCCGGGUGAGUAACACGUGGGUAAUCUACCCUCUGGUGGGGAAUAACCCUGGGAAACCGGGGCUAAUACCGCAUAUCUCCGUGAGGAGAAAGCCGAAAGGCGCCGGAGGAGGAGCCCGCGGCCGAUUAGCUUGUUGGUGAGGUAACGGCCCACCAAGGCAAAGAUCGGUAGCCGGCCUGAGAGGGCACACGGCCACACUGGCACUGAAAUACGGGCCAGACUCCUACGGGAGGCAGCAGUGGGGAAUCUUGCACAAUGGGGGAAACCCUGAUGCAGCGACGCCGCGUGAGCGAUGAAGCCCUUCGGGGUGUAAAGCUCUUUUGGCGGGAACGAUAAUGACGGUACCCGCAGAAGAAGCUGCGGCUAACUACGUGCCAGCAGCCGCGGUAAUACGUAGGCAGCGAGCGUUGUUCGGAGUUACUGGGCGUAAAGAGUAUGUAGGUGGCUUCGUAAGUUUGGUGUGAAAUCUCCCGGCUUAACUGGGAGGGUGCGUCGAAAACUGCGAGGCUAGAGUGCGGGAGAGGAGAGCGGAAUUCCUGGUGUAGCGGUGAAAUGCGUAGAUAUCAGGAGGAACACCUGCGGUGUAGACGGCUCUCUGGACCGCUACUGACACUGAGAUACGAAAGCGUGGGGAGCAAACAGGAUUAGAUACCCUGGUAGUCCACGCCCUAAACGAUGCACACUUGGUGUGGGCAGUUCAUUCUGUCCGUGCCGGAGCUAACGCGUUAAGUGUGCCGCCUGGGGAGUACGGUCGCAAGGCUGAA